UGCUACCUGUUGUGCUCCCCAUGACUCCACGGUUGAAGAAACGACAUAGAAGCUAGGUUAGAACUGGAAAAAUGGAAGUGAUAAAGAGGCCCAUGCGAAACAUCUUUAUAAGGACUCGGGGGUACUGAAGUCUUUGAACGCACCUUUUCGGAUCGUCCUUCAUGUCAAAGCCAUCGAUCUUCAAGAUAUUCCAGUCCUCCCUGGACCCCUUCGAGUAGCUAAACGACACCUGGAACAGAGAACACGGAAUGGUGAUUA